rnacentral:rRNA from 1 species
UGUCCCAGUUCGGACUGGAGUCUGCAACCCGACUCCACGAAGUUGGAUUCGCUAGUAAUCGCGCAUCAGCCAUGGCGCGGUGAAUACGUUCCCGGGCCUUGUACACACCGCCCGUCAAGCCAUGGGAGCCGGGGGCGCCUGAAGUCCGGGACCGCGAGGACCGGCCUAGGGCGAAACUGGUAACUGGGGCUAAGUCGUAACAAGGUAUC